AGCGAACGCUGGCGGUAUGCUUAACACAUGCAAGUCGAGCGCGAAAGUGACUUCGGUCAUGAGUAGAGCGGCGGACGGGUGAGUAACACGUGGAUAAUCUGCCUUUAGGACUGGGAUAACCCUGGGAAACUAGGGCUAAUACCGGAUAAGACCACAGGUUCCAUGGAACCAGGGGUAAAAGGCGGCCUUCGGGCUGUCGCCGAAAGAUGAGUCCGCGUCCCAUCAGGUAGUUGGUGAGGUAACGGCUCACCAAGCCGAAGACGGGUAGCCGACCUUAGCGGGUGAUC
rnacentral:rRNA from 1 species